GGGGCUGUAGCUCAGUUGGUAGAGCGGUACGUUCGCAUCGUACAGGCAGUGGGUUCGAAUCCCAUCAGCUCCACCA
rnacentral:tRNA from 2 species